rnacentral:rRNA from 1 species
GAGAGUACCCGGAGAAAAAGCAUCGGCUAACUCCGUGCCAGCAGCCGCGGUAAUACGGAGGAUGCGAGCGUUAUCCGGAUUUAUUGGGUUUAAAGGGUGCGUAGGCGGAUCGUUAAGUCAGUGGUCAAAUUGAGGGGCUCAACCCCUUCCCGCCACUGAAACUGGCGAUCUUGAGUGGAAGAGAAGUAUGCGGAAUGCGUGGUGUAGCGGUGAAAUGCAUAGAUAUCACGCAGAACCCCGAUUGCGAAGGCAGCAUGCCGGCUUCCGACUGACGCUGAAGCACGAAAGCGUGGGGAUCGAACAGGAUUAGAUACCCUGGUAGUCCACGCGGUAAACGAUGAGCGCUAGGUGUCCGGGGGGAAUGGCCCCUGG